GAAAAAAAUCAGUAUCUUUACCCUUGUUUUCCCGCAUGUAAUUGGUUACACAGAUUCAGGUAACCGGUUACACAGACAAAAAACAACAAAAUACACAUGUUUUCACAUGUGUAAUAGGUUACACCUGGGACAGUGGACCAAAAUACUGCAUUUUUCAACAGUAAUGCAGUUUCCUUUGCAUUCCAAAUCAGUCCCAAUGCUUGCUUCAAUACACAGUGCAA
rnacentral:lncRNA from 1 species